AUGCUUGCUUCAGCAGCACAUGUACUAAAAUUGAAAUGACACAGAGAUUAGUAUAGCCAUUGUGUAAAGAUGACAUACAAAAUCAGAAAGCAUUCCAUAUUACC
rnacentral:snRNA from 1 species